rnacentral:tRNA from 1 species
AGGAUUAUAGUUAAUUAUAAUAUUUGAAUUGCAAUCAAAAGGUAUCAAAAUAGAUUAAUCUUA